UCUGAUCAUUUUGGAACCUAUAGGCGGAACUACAGGUGAAAGUGACACUGCAAGCUGAAUGAGGGACGGUAAUGUACUGAUGGAGAGGCCUAGAAAGGAACGUAGGCAAACGAGCCAAUAAGGAACAGACGCAUUCGCUAUCCACAGCUUUCAUCCACCUGCAACAUUCGUCUUCUGCAGGAGUAGUUUCUUGAUACCCAAGGCUUGAAGGAGAUGACAGUAGUGAUGAGUGCGCGAGUGUAAAUGCUGGUGGAGUUGGUGGAGCAGGUGGAGUUGGUGGAGCUGGUGGAGCUGGUGGAGCAGGUGGAGAUGGUGGAGGCAAAGGGGUAUAUGGCAAAUUUUGACAUGCAUGGUUCACAAGUGUAAAUUGGGAGAGACAAAGUGGACGAGGGACAAUAGAAGGAUUAGGCGCAAAUUGACUGUUUGAUCCUCCUAGGUGAAUUAUUACUAGGAGUAACAAAGUUGAAACCAUUCCUUGGAUCAUGUUCAUUUUGCUUAUGCUUCCUUCUUGUGUUU
rnacentral:lncRNA from 1 species